AUUGAACGCUGGCGGCAGGCUUAACACAUGCAAGUCGAGCGGGGAAAGGUAGCUUGCUACCUGACCUAGCGGCGGACGGGUGAGUAAUGCUUAGGAAUCUGCCUAUUAGUGGGGGGCAACAUUCCGAAAGGAAUGCUAAUACCGCAUACGCCCUACGGGGGAAAGCAGGGGAUCUUCGGACCUUGCGCUAAUAGAUGAGCCUAAGUCAGAUUAGCUAGUUGGUGGGGUAAAGGCCUACCAAGGCGACGAUCUGUAGCGGGUCUGAGAGGAUGAUCCGCCACACUGGGACUGAGACACGGCCCAGACUCCUACGGGAGGCAGCAGUGGGGAAUAUUGGACAAUGGGCGGAAGCCUGAUCCAGCCAUGCCGCGUGUGUGAAGAAGGCCUUUUGGUUGUAAAGCACUUUAAGCGAGGAGGAGGCUACUUGGAUUAAUACUCUAGGAUAGUGGACGUUACUCGCAGAAUAAGCACCGGCUAACUCUGUGCCAGCCGCCGCCGUAACAC
rnacentral:rRNA from 1 species